rnacentral:rRNA from 1 species
AACGAACGCUGGCGGCAUGCCUAACACAUGCAAGUCGAACGAGACCUUCGGGUCUCGUGGCGCACGGGUGCGUAACGCGUGGGAACCUGCCCUUAGGUUCGGAAUAACUCCCCGAAAGGGGUGCUAAUACCGGAUAAUGUCUUCGGACCAAAGAUUUCUCGCCUUUGGAUGGGCCCGCGUUGGAUUAGCUAGUUGGUAGGGUAAAAGCCUACCAAGGCGACGAUCCAUAGCUGGUCUGAGAGGAUGAUCAGCCACACUGGGACUGAGACACGGCCCAGACUCCUACGGGAGGCAGCAGUGAAGAAUAUUGGACAAUGGGCGAAAGCCUGAUCCAGCAAUGCCGCGUGAGUGAUGAAGGCCUUAGGGUUGUAAAGCUCUUUUACCCGGGAUGAUAAUGACAGUACCGGGAGAAUAAGCUCCGGCUAACUCCGUG